rnacentral:rRNA from 1 species
AGUGGCGAACGGGUGCGUAACACGUAGGUGACCUGCCCCGAGGUGGGGGAUAACUGUGGGAAACCAUGGCUAAAACCCCAGAUGUCUAAAUUACUAGAAGGUUUAGACUAAAACUCCGGUGCCUCGGGAGGGGCCUGCGGGCUAUCAGCUAGUUGGUGAGGUAAUGGCUUACCAAGGCUAAGACGGCUAGGGGGCGUGAGAGCGUGACCCCCACAAUGGAACUGAGACACGGUCCAUACUCCUACGGGAGGCAGCAGUGAGGAAUAUUGCACAAUGGGGGAAACCCUGAUGCAGCAACGCCGCGUGGAUGAUGAAGGCCUUCGGGUUGUAAAAUCCUUUUCUGGGGAACGAUAAUGACGGUACCCCAGGAAUAAGUCCCGGCUAACUACGUGCCAGCAGCCGCGGUAAAACGUAGGGGGCGAGCGUUAUCCGGAUUUACUGGGCGUAAAGCGCACGUAGGCGGCAUCGUAAGUUGGGCGUUAAAGCUCCUGGCUUAACUGGGAGAGGUCGUUCAAUACUGCGGUGCUUGAGGUUGAAAGAGGAGAGCGGAAUUCCCGGUGUAGUGGUGGAAUGCGUAGAUAUCGGGAGGAACACCAGUGGCGAAAGCGGCUCUCUGGUUCACACCUGACGCUGAGGUGCGAAAGCGUGGGGAGCGAACGGGAUUAGAUACCCCGGUAGUCCACGCUGUAAACGAUGGAUACUAGG